rnacentral:rRNA from 1 species
AGAGUUUGAUCCUGGCUCAGAUUGAACGCUGGCGGCAGGCCUAACACAUGCAAGUCGAGCGGAAACGAGUUAUCUGAACCUUCGGGGAACGAUAACGGCGUCGAGCGGCGGACGGGUGAGUAAUGCCUAGGAAAUUGCCCUGAUGUGGGGGAUAACCAUUGGAAACGAUGGCUAAUACCGCAUGAUGCCUACGGGCCAAAGAGGGGGACCUUCGGGCCUCUCGCGUCAGGAUAUGCCUAGGUGGGAUUAGCUAGUUGGUGAGGUAAGGGCUCACCAAGGCAACGAUCCCUAGCUGGUCUGAGAGGAUGAUCAGCCACACUGGAACUGAGACACGGUCCAGACUCCUACGGGAGGCAGCAGUGGGGAAUAUUGCACAAUGGGCGCAAGCCUGAUGCAGCCAUGCCGCGUGUGUGAAGAAGGCCUUCGGGUUGUAAAGCACUUUCAGUCGUGAGGAAGGUGGUGUAGUUAAUAGCUGCAUUAUUUGACGUUAGCGACAGAAGAAGCACCGGCUAACUCCGUGCCAGCAGCCGCGGUAAUACGGAGGGUGCGAGCGUUAAUCGGAAUUACUGGGCGUAAAGCGCAUGCAGGUGGUUUGUUAAGUCAGAUGUGAAAGCCCGGGGCUCAACCUCGGAAUAGCAUUUGAAACUGGCAGACUAGAGUACUGUAGAGGGGGGUAGAAUUUCAGGUGUAGCGGUGAAAUGCGUAGAGAUCUGAAGGAAUACCGGUGGCGAAGGCGGCCCCCUGGACAGAUACUGACACUCAGAUGCGAAAGCGUGGGGAGCAAACAGGAUUAGAUACCCUGGUAGUCCACGCCGUAAACGAUGUCUACUUGGAGGUUGUGGCCUUGAGCCGUGGCUUUCGGAGCUAACGCGUUAAGUAGACCGCCUGGGGAGUACGGUCGCAAGAUUAAAACUCAAAUGAAUUGACGGGGGCCCGCACAAGCGGUGGAGCAUGUGGUUUAAUUCGAUGCAACGCGAAGAACCUUACCUACUCUUGACAUCCAGAGAACUUUCCAGAGAUGGAUUGGUGCCUUCGGGAACUCUGAGACAGGUGCUGCAUGGCUGUCGUCAGCUCGUGUUGUGAAAUGUUGGGUUAAGUCCCGCAACGAGCGCAACCCUUAUCCUUGUUUGCCAGCGAGUAAUGUCGGGAACUCCAGGGAGACUGCCGGUGAUAAACCGGAGGAAGGUGGGGACGACGUCAAGUCAUCAUGGCCCUUACGAGUAGGGCUACACACGUGCUACAAUGGCGCAUACAGAGGGCGGCCAACUUGCGAAAGUGAGCGAAUCCCAAAAAGUGCGUCGUAGUCCGGAUUGGAGUCUGCAACUCGACUCCAUGAAGUCGGAAUCGCUAGUAAUCGUGGAUCAGAAUGCCACGGUGAAUACGUUCCCGGGCCUUGUACACACCGCCCGUCACACCAUGGGAGUGGGCUGCAAAAGAAGUAGGUAGUUUAACCUUCGGGGGGACGCUUACCACUUUGUGGUUCAUGACUGGGGUGAAGUCGUAACAAGGUAACC